rnacentral:rRNA from 1 species
UACGAAGGUGGCAAGCGUUACUCGGAAUUACUAGGCGUAAAGGGCAGGUAGGUGGUUCAGUAAGUCUGUUGUGGAAGCUCCCGGCUUAACCGGGAGAGGCCAACGGAAACUACUGGACUUGAGUGUAGGAGAGGGUACUGGAAUUCCCGGUGUAGCGGUGAAAUGCGCAGAGAUCGGGAGGAACACCAAUGGCGAAAGCAGGUACCUGGACUAUUACUGACACUAAGCUGCGAAAGCUAGGGGAGCAAACAGG